AGUGACACAAACUGGAUGUAUGCGUAUAAAAGUGUUUUUUAUUGUAACAGUGGGUGUUAACAGGAAGCUUUUACAAUCAUUAAUACAAAAAGGAUAUCAACAAUUAAGGCAACUUGGUUUCUCAGACCUAAGUUCUCUACAAUAGCAUCUUAGUUAAAUAAAUGGAGACUAAAUAUAUUGAAAUGAUUCAAAUUCUAAUUUCACAAUCUUUUUUGUUUGUAUCCUGUUACAUUCAGUAUCUUAAGUAUGAGGUUACAAAAUAACCAUAAUGUCUGUAAGGCAUAUUUAUCUUUACGUCGAGUGAAAUGUGUAGAAAUAUGUUGAUCCAAAAAACACAGUAGUCAGUUUAUUUUAUUUUUACUGGUUGUUUUGGUCUUUUCAAGUUUCUGCCAGAUGGUAAAAACCUACUGAGGAAUAAAAAAAUUUGUUAACUUAAUAAUCAAACCUGUUUGGCAGCUUUAGGCUUUAGAAAACAGAAAAAAAAAUCAUAUUGUCCUAAUAUAUUGUCAAAUGAACAGCAACAUAUGUUACAAUUACCUUUUUCACCAUUAUUUAUAUAAUUGGUUUUUCAGGUCAUAGUUUCGGAGGAAGCAUCCAGUUACUGCUAAAGACUAAAUCUGUCAGUUAUGUCAAUUUGAAAUAGAUUGUAAAGCUACUUUCAAAUCAUUUUGAGUCCAUCAAAUCAAAACUUAUUUGCAGAGGAGAACAUCACUUAUUCUGCAUCACAGUGCACUUUGAAGAGUACUUAAUUAGUACCUAUGCAAUAAAAUAAAUGAAGAUGUAUCUCAGGGUUUUCUAGAUGCUUAUUGUUAAAGGUCUAAGGACGAUUAAACAAAAUAAGAAAAUACUGUUUGUUUAGAAGAAAUGUUAAAAGUUCCUUAAACUCGGCUGGCAGUAAAGCUUAAACUUAUACAACUUAAUCUGAGUUUCUGGAACAAACUAUGCAAAGAACAAAACAGAAAUAGAAAGAUUUUGCCAUGACGAUUUUUGAAAACCAAUACCAGCACAAACAGAAGGUAUUGACUGUCAAACAAGUUGGCAGAGGGUGAUGAAACGGACUCGGGUUGCAGCCACAAGAAUUGUUCAUUUGAAAAGGAACUCUGCAGCCAAAAUGUCAAGAGAGUCAAAGCUUGGAUUAAACUGUGUCAUGCAACAUAACUAGGAGGUAAACACAGCAAUGAAUCUACAAGGGAAUGGGUGAAAAAGAAAAGAAGAAACAUGCUGCAAUGCAAUUUUUAACACCUGAAUCCCAAAUGGAUGAACAUUUCACACGAGUACUGUCAGAUAAGUCAGAUCUACUACAACUGUAGAUACAUUUUCAAAAUAAAAACAAAGAAAAUAUUCAGUCAAUGAUAAAUGCACUGAAAUAGGACUAAGAUUUACAGCUAAAUGUUUAACAAGGUCUAAUUCCAAACUUUAAAUUUAAUCUUAGAUUUAUAUAAGUUAAUUCUGUCUAUUUACCUUAGAAAUAAUAUCCAGAACAAACAAGCAAUGAGGGCAAAGUAAAAGUGAAGGCCUCAAUAGAGAAAACAAUUGGAUUUUGCUAUUGUCUGAAGUUCUUUUAGAAAAAAAAAUAUUUUCUGUUGUGUUUAAUUGAUAUCAAAAGUUUGGCUAUUAAGAAAACUGUUGAGCAAGAAAACUGGGUUAAAAACCUUUUUGUGCAGCAAAACACUUCUUUUCUUUUCAGAUGAAAAGAUUCAAGCACAUUUGAAACUGAAAAAUACAUACAAAGUCUUUCCAGUCAACAAAAAAAGCGGACAGAUAUAAAUCCUUAGGCAUCUCCAAUGAAUGCGUUAAAUAUUUGAUAUACAGAGUUUGUAGGUGACAUAAAUACAUUAGUAGUAGAAUAAAAUAAAGACAAUAAAAUCUCAACACUAAAAAGGCAGUCCAGGGUUGCAGUAAAGGUGACAGGUGCAUGCAAAAUGAAAAAUGAAA